GGUCAGCUGACACAUCCCUGCCCAUCUCCGGCAGACCCUCCCUCCCAGACCCUCCCACCUCCUGGACAGCAUCCAUGUUGAAGCUGCCUUCAACAUGGAUGCUGUCCAGGAAGUAGGAGGGUCUGGGAGGGAGGGUCUGCCGGAGAUUGGCAGGGAUGUGUCAGCUG